CUACGGGGUGCAGCAGUGAGGAAUAUUGCGCAAUGGGGGAAACCCUGACGCAGCGACGCCGCGUGGAUGAUGAAGGCCUUCGGGUCGUAAAAUCCUGUCAGAAGGAAAGAAGUGUAUGGUAGCUAAUAUCUGCCAUACUUGACGGUACCUUCAAAGGAAGCACCGGCUAGCUCCGUGCCAGCAGCCGCGGUAAUACGGAGGGUGCAAGCGUUGUUCGGAAUUACUGGGCGUAAAGCGCGCGUAGGCGGUUUUAUAAGUCAGAUGUGAAAGUCCACGGCUCAACCAUGGAAGUGCAUUUGAAACUGUAAGACUUGAGUAUUGGAGGGGGUAGUGGAAUUCCCGAUGUAGAGGUGAAAUUCGUAGAUAUCGGGAGGAAUACCGGUGGCGAAGGCGACUAUCUGGCCAAAUACUGACGCUGAGGUGCGAAAGCGUGGGGAGCAAACAGGAUUAGAUACCCUUGUAGUC
rnacentral:rRNA from 1 species